UACGUAGGGGGCAAGCGUUGUUCGGAAUUACUGGGCGUAAAGGGCGCGUAGGCGGCACGGCAAGUCAGGAGUGAAAGGCCUGGGCUCAACCGAGGAACUGCUUUUGAGACUGCCGAGCUAGAGUGCAGAAGGGGCAACUGGAAUUCCCAGUGUAGCGGUGAAAUGCGUAGAUAUUGGGAAGAACACCUGAGGCGAAGGCGGGUCUCUGGGCCGUAACUGACGCUGAGGAGCGAAAGCAUGGGGAGCGAACAGG
rnacentral:rRNA from 1 species